CACGUAGGGUGCGAGCGUUGUCCGGAAUUAUUGGGCGUAAAGAGCUCGUAGGCGGCUUGUCGCGUCGACUGUGAAAACUCGGAGCUCAACUCCGAGCCUGCGUUCGAUACUGGACGGCUAGAGUCUGGUAGGGGGAUCUGGAAUUCCUGGUGUAGCGGUGAAAUGCGCAGAUAUCAGGAGGAACACCGGUGGCGAAGGCGGGUCUCUGGGCCGAUACUGACGCUGAGGAGCGAAAGCGUGGGGAGCGAACAGG
rnacentral:rRNA from 1 species